CCUACGGGAGGCUGCAGUGAGGAAUAUUGGUCAAUGGACGAGAGUCUGAACCAGCCAAGUAGCGUGAAGGAUGACUGCCCUAUGGGUUGUAAACUUCUUUUAUAUGGGAAUAAAAUGUUCCACGUGUGGGAUUUUGUAGGUACCAUAUGAAUAAGGAUCGGCUAACUCCGUGCCAGCAGCCGCGGUAAUACGGAGGAUCCGAGCGUUAUCCGGAUUUAUUGGGUUUAAAGGGAGCGUAGGUGGAUUGUUAAGUCAGUUGUGAAAGUUUGCGGUUCAACCGUAAAAUUGCAGUUGAAACUGGCAGUCUUGAGUACAGUAGAGGUGGGCGGAAUUCGUGGUGUAGCGGUGAAAUGCUUAGAUAUCACGAAGAACUCCGAUUGCGAAGGCAGUUCACUGGACUGCAACUGACACUGAGGCUCGAAAGUGUGGGUAUCAAACAGGAUUAGAUACCCCAGUAGUC
rnacentral:rRNA from 1 species